UGGUCGAUGGUUAUACCUUAUGUUGUCUGAAUUGAUUUGUUUUUGUUUUUUUUUUUACUUCUUCCGAUUAUAUGUAAUAUUUAUGACUUUCAAAUAUACGCAGUUUCGUUCAAAGAGGAUCAGCCUACAAUUGAAUAAAUGAAGCUAAUAAUGAAACUGACGGAAUUUUUGUUUCUUGCUUCGUUUCUAUUUGGGGAAAGUUCACAUGCUCCUGCAGGUAAGUGUAACUUAAGGUUAUAAUAGUUGAUAAAUUUUGAAUAACAAUAUAUAAUUACAUUUCUUCAAAAGGAUAUUAAUAAUUAGAUUUCUAAGUGAUGAUUUAGGUCGAAAUACACGUUACAUUAAUGUGUUAACCUCCUAUUAUUGACAAGGUAUUAUAAUAAUGUACAAGAAUAUUUAAAACUGGAAAAAAAUAUACUCGAAUUAACCCGUAAUUGACUGGUUCUGUCAUAAAUGUAAUUAUAAAGACACUUUAGAGCGUCAUACCUACAAACAAAUAUCCAGAUUUAUGUAAAUUGCUCGUUAAAAUUAUUGUGUAAAAAAAAUUGUUCCUUGUUUUUUUUUUAAACCUCUUAUUUAAAUUUUUAUAGUUAUCAUAUCAAAGUUUGUUGCAAAUCUACAACUUCCCAAGAAGCGUUUCUUUUUCUUGGUGGUGAUAUUACAUUUCCUCCAUCUACCACUUUCCAAUGCAUACAUGAUUUGACUACUUCAUAUUCAUUAGAAGUAAAUAAAGUAUGUACUCUUGAUUAAAGUUUAUAUCAUUACUGAAUAUUAUUAUGUACUCACAAGUCACUGACAUAUGUAUUUUUAACAGGUUCCCUUUAUACAAACACAAAUACAUGUAGGGGAAUUUUAUUAUUAUGAACGACUGGAAAAAAACAUAAGGAUUGUGUUUCACCAUUAAUAGGUUUAAUUAUACGAUGCAUUUGUAUCUUAACCCAUGAGAGUUAUGAUUGAGAGGUUUUAGAUGUUAGGAUACAUUGUAUCUUAACUCAUGAAAGAUAUGUUUGAGAGGUUUUAGACGUUAGGAUACCAUAAUAACAUUUCUUCACAAGGAUAUUUACAUUUUGAUUUCAAAGUGAUGUGUUAGGUCUAAAUAAAUGUUACGGCAAUGUUGAAACAUCCUGUUAUUUACAAGGUACAUAAUACUGUACAGGAAUAUUUAAAACAGGAAAACAAUAUGCUUGAUCUAACCCGUAAUUUAUUGUUUGUGUCUUAAAUGUUAUUAUCCAGACUUCAGAGCUUCAUACCAACAAUCAAAUAUCCAAAUUUAUGUACAUCUACCCGCUAGCUUGAUCGUUAAAAUCUUAAUUGAAAAGGAGAUCAGUUUCUUGUUUUGUUUAAAACCCUAACUUUGUAUUUUUAUAGUUAUCAUACCAAAAUGUGUUGCAAAUCUACAAAUUCCCGUGUAGCGUUUCUUUUUCUUGGUGAUUAUAUUACAUUUGCUCUAUCUAUCGCUUUCCAAUAAAUAAAUGAUUUGACUACUUCACAACUCUUAGAAGUAAAUAGUAUGUACUCUUAAAUAAAGUUGAUAUCAUAACUGGAUAUCAUUAUGUACUGCAAACACGGAUAGAGGAAUAUAAUUAGUAUGAACGAUUAAUAGGUUGAUUGAUACGAUAAGUCUGUAUCUUAACUCAUGAGAGAUAUGUUUGAGAUAUUCUAUAUUAGACCUUAAGAUGCACCGUAUAUUACCUCAUGAGAGAUAUGUUUUAGAGGUAUUAGACCUUAAAAUACACUGUAUCUUAACUCAUGAAAAAUAUGUUUGAGAGGUAUCAGACCUUAAAAUACACUGUAUCUUAACUCAUGAAAGAUAUGUUUGAGAGGUAUCAGACCUUAAUUAAAAUACACUGUAUCUUAACUCAUGAAAGAUAUGUUUGAGAUGUUUUAUACCUUAACAACACUGUAUCAUAACUAAUGUGAGAUGUGUUUGAGAUGUAUUAAACCUUAAGAUACACUGUAUCUUAAUGCAUGACAGAUAUGUUUGAGAGAUAUCAUAAUUUAAAACACACUGUAGCUUAACUCAUGAAAGAUAUGUUUGAGACAUAUAAGACCUUGAAAUACACUGUAUCUUAACUCAUGAAAGAUACGUUUGAGAGGUUUUAGACCUUAAUAUACAAUAUAUUUUAAACUGAUGAAAGAUAUGUUUGAGAGGAAUUAGACCUUACGAUACACUGUAUUUUAACUGAUGAGAGAUGUGUUUUGGAGGUAUUAUGCCUUUUAAGAAACACUGAAUCUUAACUCAAGAGAGAUUUGUUUGAGCAGUAUAAGACCGUAAUAUACACUGUAUCUUAAACUCAUGAAAGAUAUGUUUGAGAUAAUUUUAACCUUACGAUACACUCUAUCUGAACUGAUGAGAGAUUUGUUUAAGAGGUAUUAUGCCUUUUUUUAUGCCUUCACGAGGGCUAUGCUUGACCGGUAUUAAACCGUAAUAUACACUGUAUCUUAACUCAUGAAAGAUAUGUUUGAGAUGUAUUAGAUCUAAAGAUACACUGUAUCUAAACUCAUAUGAGAGAUAUGUUUGACGGGAAUUAGACCUUAAAAUGCACUGUAUCUUAAUGAUACAAGAUUGUAGAUCUUUAGUGUUUACAGGACCUAAGCAAACUGGUUAUCUUAACCUCGUGACAUAUUUUUGAGAAACUGAAAUUUGUCCUAUGUUAUACUGUAUCUACUCAUGAAGGAUGUGUUUGAAGAGAUGACUAGAUACUAUAAGAUACACUCGUAUCUCGACUUUAAAGUUAUGUUUGAGGAUAGCUCUUUGAGGUAUUUUAACGCAAGACAGAUAUGUUUGAGAGGUAUUUAUACCUUUAACACACACUGAAUUAUAGUCAUAACGAGAUAUGCUUGGAAUAUUCAAACUUUAAGAUACACUGUAUGCUUAACUAGAGCGGUAUGCGUUGCAGAGGUAUUAGACGCUUUAGCUACACUGGAUCUUAACUCAUGCAUAUCUAAUAUAUUAUUAUAUACUAUAUAUAUAUAUAUUCUGAGAGAGAAUUAAAAUUGAGAGACGAUAAAAAACGUUGUGAAAUCUUUUAUUUUACAAAUUAUGUAUAAUUCCUUACCUUGACAUUUUAAUUGUAUCUGCAAAAAUAUGGCUCGGUUAUGGGUGUUAACUUUGAUUUGUAAGUGUUGACUAAGACAAAUCAUCUAACACAAAACAUGUAUGUGUAUUUAUAUCCGCUGUCUGUUUAACAUUUAACAGUUACAAAACAAGGCAUCUUUUUUAAAGCACUUUAAAGAAUUGUGAUUAUGAUAAUUAGAACAUAUUCUGGGUUAUCUAUGAUAAAGAUAGCUUCGUUCUCAUCCCAUAUGGAGUUUACAUAUCCCAUAUGUAUCUCAUUAUGUCACUAGCACACUGUGCAACUAAUUUAUCUUACCGACUUUCUUAACAUGUGGCGUUUAGACUAGUUGCCUAUCAAAAUUAUUAAGUCUUCAAGAUGAAAUAUAAAAAAACCUACUUUCAUUGGUCUAUACCACAAUAAAUGCCAACAUUAACAUGUGUUAGCUUUUAGUGCGUUUUCUGCAUUUUUUUUUCAAUUGGUCAUCAUCGAUGUUUUUAUUUUUUGUCCGGGCGAAACGUUUUAAAAUUUCCUCAACUCCGUGUGGUUUGUAUAAAGAGAAGUAACACCAAAAAUACCCGUGUAGUGAAAUAAACCAGGCCUACCUACCCCUUGCUAAAUAUACUGACAUUCCUUGAAAUCAUAGGAGGCAAGAUAAUCCAAAACAUUUAACCAACUCAUUGUCAAUUUUAAAGGGGAUGACUUAAACUUUACCCGAAUUAAUCCUUGGUGUAAUAGCUUCCUGUAAGGUUAAACUUUUCCAUUCGUAAAUUCUUAUAAGAAAUGCAAGCUCUGGAAGAGACAUAUAUUCUACAGUUAUGCUAAUCACAUAAUUAUACAUUAGUAUUCCUAACCUUAGUUAAACAAUUAAACUAUCGAUACCACUUGUUUAUGAUACCUUUAACAUUGUCAAUGUAACCUUCAGUGGUAUUGUAUAUACUGAAUAAUUUUGUUUUCUUUGCAUAAAUUGUAGACGUAUUCAUGAUUAACGAAUGCGCAAGUAGUCCGUGUCUUAAUGGUGGAUAUUGUCUGAACGUUGUAAAUCACUUUAUAUGUUAUUGUCUACCUGAUUACACUGGUGAAAGAUGUCAGACGAGUAAGCUUGUUAUUCAUUGUUUAAAGUCUGUAGCAAAACUGCCUAAGUGUAGUGUUUUUUUUUUCUACAACUGUUGUUUUCAUAGAAAGAGGGAAAUACAUGACAUAAUAUAUUUCAUUGGUAUAUUUGCAGUGUAAUAACAA
rnacentral:lncRNA from 1 species